rnacentral:rRNA from 1 species
UUCCGGUUGAUCCCGCCGGACCUGACUGCUAUCGGAGUGGGAUUAAGCCAUGCGAGUCGAACGCCUCUCAGCCAUGUGAGAGGCGUGGCGGACGGCUCAGUAACACGUAAUCAACCUACCCUGAAGACGUGGAUAACCCCGGGAAACUGGGACUAAUCCACGAUAGGCCAUGAUUCCUGGAAUGGGUCGUGGCCGAAAGGGAUGGAUAAGCAUGCUUAUCCAUCCGCUUCAGGAUGGGAUUGCGGCCGAUCAGGUAGUUGGUGGGGUAAUGGCCCACCAAGCCUAUAACCGGUACGGGCUUUGAGAGAAGGAGCCCGGAGAUGGACACUGAGACAAGGGUCCAGGCCCUACGGGGCGCAGCAGGCGCGAAACCUUCGCAAUGCGCGAAAGCGCGACGAGGCUACUCCGAGUGCCACCCGCUGAGGGUGGCUUUUCCCGAGUCUAAAAAGCUCGGGGAAUAAGGGGAGGGUAAGUCUGGUGUCAGCCGCCGCGGUAAAACCAGC